GAUCCUACGGGGGGCAGCAGUGGGGGAUAUUGCACAAUGGGGGAAACCCUGAUGCAGCGACGCCGCGUGAGUGAAGAAGUAUUUCGGUAUGUAAAGCUCUAUCAGCAGGGAAGAAAAUGACAGUACCUGACCAAGAAGCCCCGGCUAACUACGUGCCAGCAGCCGCGGUAAUACAUAGGGGGCAAGCGUUAUCCGGAUUUACUGGGUGUAAAGGGUGCGUAGGUGGCAGGGCAAGUCAGAUGUGAAAGCCCGGGGCUCAACCCCGGUACUGCAUUUGAAACUGUCCAGCUGGAGUGCAGGAGAGG
rnacentral:rRNA from 1 species